AAUGAACGUUGGCGGCGUGGAUUAGGCAUGCAAGUCGAGCGAGAAGUGUCCGGUGCUUGCAUUGGACAUGGAAAGCGGCGAAAGGGAGAGUAACGCGUAGAAUAUCUACCCUCAGGACUGGGAUAGCGUCGGGAAACUGGCGGUAAUACCGGAUAAUGUCCCCGGACCAAAGGUGUGAUUCCGCCUGAGGAUGAUUCUGCGUCCUAUUAGCUUGUUGGUGAGGUAAUGGCUCACCAAGGCUAAGAUGGGUAGCGGGCGUGAGAGCGUGGCCCGUCUCACUGGGACUGAGACACUGCCCAGACACCUACGGGUGGCUGCAGUCGAGAAUCUUCGGCAAUGGGCGAAAGCCUGACCGAGCGACGCCGCGUGCGGGAUGAAGGCCUUCGGGUUGU
rnacentral:rRNA from 1 species